rnacentral:misc_RNA from 1 species
AAUUCUCUCGAUCCUGGAUAUUUUCUUGUCCAGGUUCGGAUGUGGAUGUUGUUGGUUUUUUACUGACUCGUCUUGAAAUGUAUUAGCUGACCCUCUUGGUUUGACAGACGGUGUGAUAAGUGAAAUACUUACGCUGUGUGUCUAAUACUUAUAGAGGUCGCUUCUAACAACCCCUCAUUUAUAUUUUAU